UUUAAUUUCUUUUGUUGGAGAUAUUUUGACUGUUCCACUCCUGUUCAUUAUCCUCCCCCGAUGACAGAAAAAAAAGGAAAAGGAAAAAGGAAUCAGUAACACCACUUCAUGGCAGCCACCUCCACCAAGAGUUCCUUUCAAAAUUUGGUCACCCACCAAGAAGGGGACACGGGUCUCUCCUCUAUUUUUCACUUCCUUUUUCCAUUUCUUCUUCUUCUUCUUCCGUUUCCUUCUUCUUCGGCCCUCACCUUACUAAACCCAAGGUGAUCGGACUUUCACCGAAAAAUUAUGCGAAUCCCGACGUCAUUUCACCCCACUACCGCCAUAGAUACCAAGCCCAGUUGACCGGUGACCCACCCACGGGAAGAUCACUCCGAAAUACCACCUAACGCGCCGGGGAAGAGCUAAACUCCGGUGGGCACUGUUUCGGCCCGGUUGUCGGAAAUCAAUGGGUUCUAGGCCAAGGGGCCGACCCUUUCCACCAUUUAUGGAUCUUCUGAUCACGAAUCCAAGCUUAGAUGGGCUCAAGGCUUGCUAGGCUGUGAAAAACGAAGGAAUCCACUUUCGUAGCAACUUUCAGGUGGAGAUUUCAGUCAUUAGCGGCCACUGUUGAGCAAGAUCAUCGUGAGGGAGUCAUGGAUUUGAGGGAAGGUGGAUAUAAUAUAGAGUGAGCAUCAGCCACCUCUCUCCAUAGCUACGAUGACUGUUGGUUGUUUAUUAUCGCUAUUCUGUGGGUGCCAUGGACUUAAGCGUUAACAAGUGUAUUGCAUUGUGAGUAUUAGCUAUUUUUUUCUUGGCCGCAAGUGGCUGUUAUGGAUCAGCGCGUAGGUUAUAUUCAGGAUCAUUCCGGUGAGGGUAGGUAGGGUAUAAUGCAAAGUUAGCACUAGCCAUCUUCCGUUUGGCUGCAGGAUGACUAUUAGUACUGGUUAGUGUGCAUAUGGCCAUGGCCAUUAUGUGGGAGCUAUGGAUUUGAGGUAUGGGAGGUUCCGUGCACAGUGAGCAUUAGCCGCUUUUUCGGUCGACUGUUUAGCCGAGGUAGAUUAUAAGCAUCGGUGCCGUUGGGACAUUAAAGUGAUCGGAUGCAGCUUUUCUCUUUAAUCUUCUUGUUAGGCUGUACUUGGGAUGCUGGGUAUCGUCAAACACCACUAGUAUAUAAUAUGGUGUAUCAAGUAUUUUUAUAUAUUUAUAUAUAUAUAUGUAAUAUUAUAUUAUGUUUGUA